UCCUCGAUAGCUCAACGGUAGAGCAUCUGACUGUUAAUCAGAGGGUUCCUGGUUCGAAUCCAGGUCGAGGAGCCA
rnacentral:tRNA from 1 species